rnacentral:misc_RNA from 1 species
GAUGAAGAACGCAGCGAAAUGCGAUAAGUAAUGUGAAUUACAGAAUUCAGUGAAUCAUCGAAUCUUUGAACGCACCUUGCGCCCUUUGGCUAUUCUGAAGGGCAUGCCUGUUUGAGUAUCAUGAACACCUCAACUCUCACGGUUCGCCGUGAUGAGCUUGGACUUUGGGGGUCUUGCUGGCCUAUAGUCAGCUCCUCUUAAAUGAAUCAGCUUGCCAGUGUUUGGUGGCACCACAGGUGUGAUAACAAUCUACGCUUGAGGUUUUCCACCAGGCAACCUUCAGUAAUUGGGGUUCACUGGGGCUCACAAAUGUCUUUCUUCAGUGAGGACAGCUCUUUGAAUGUUUGAUCUCAAAUCAGGUAGGACUACCCGCUGAACUUAAGCAUAUCAAUAAGGGAGGA